rnacentral:rRNA from 1 species
UUGCUGGGUACUCGAGUGGCGAACGGGUGAGUAACACGUGGGUGAUCUGCCCUGAACUCUGGGAUAAGCCUGGGAAACUGGGUCUAAUACCGGAUAUGACCAUGCCAUGCAUGUGGUGUGGUGGAAAGCUUUUGCGGUUUGGGAUGGGCCCGCGGCCUAUCAGCUUGUUGGUGGGGUAAUGGCCUACCAAGGCGACGACGGGUAGCCGACCUGAGAGGGUGAUCGGCCACACUGGGACUGAGACACGGCCCAGACUCCUACGGGAGGCAGCAGUGGGGAAUAUUGCACAAUGGGCGCAAGCCUGAUGCAGCGACGCCGCGUGAGGGAUGACGGCCUUCGGGUUGUAAACCUCUUUCGCCAGGGACGAAGCGCAAGUGACGGUACCUGGAGAAGAAGCACCGGCCAACUACGUGCCAGCAGCCGCGGUAAUACGUAGGGUGCGAGCGUUGUCCGGAAUUACUGGGCGUAAAGAGCUCGUAGGCGGUUUGUCGCGUCGUCUGUGAAAUUCUGCAGCUUAACUGCAGGCGUGCAGGCGAUACGGGCAGACUUGAGUACUACAGGGGAGACUGGAAUUCCUGGUGUAGCGGUGAAAUGCGCAGAUAUCAGGAGGAACACCGGUGGCGAAGGCGGGUCUCUGGGUAGUAACUGACGCUGAGGAGCGAA